rnacentral:misc_RNA from 1 species
GGAAUUGCCGGUGGGGUUUCAAGCAUUGGUACUAAUUUAUCUGCUUUUCCUGCUUCUGGGUUCACUACAAUAAAUAAUAACAACAAUGGGAAUGGGAAGGUUGGCUCUGGGUUAGUUACUCCUCCCUCUUCUUCUGGUGGGUUGGCUAAUUAUAGAGGUGUUGGAUUGGGAAGCAACAACAACAGUAACUGCAGUAUACAAGGCCCAAUUUUCGGUUCUCCAGCUAGCAGUGUUUCUCUUCCGGCUACUUUUCCUCAUGGAAUGCUCUAUCAUCAUAAUCUGCAACACCAAAUUGAAGCUCCGGAGGAGAAGCCGCAGAUACUAAAUCCACAGAUGUUAAUGAACCAGCAACAGCCUCAUAAUCCACACCCUCAAAACCCAAACAUUUUCUUGCCAUUAUCGUUUCCUCAGCAAGAAAAUCACCUCCUUCAGCCCCAACCAAAGCGCCAGAACUCCGUUGGCAUAGACCCACUGUCUCAGAUGGUCCCCAAGCUUCCAUUCGGCGAUCCCGGGCAUGAGUUACUGCUAAGAAGACAGCAGCAGCAACAACAGCAUCUGGGAUUUCCACAAGGAGUGCAGUUUCUUCAUCCGCAUCUUCAACAGAAGCCAUUGCUGGUAAAGAAGGAAGAAGUAGGAGCCCAACAGGAACAACAACAGCACCAACAUGCGUUGCUGGACCAGCUCUACAAGGCA